rnacentral:rRNA from 1 species
CGGGUUGUUAAAGCACUUUUCAGUAGGGAGGAAGGUAGUGUAGUUAACACCUGCAUUAUUUGACGUUUACCUACAGAAGAAGCACCGGCUAACUCCGUGCCAGCAGCCGCGGUAAUACGGAGGGUGCGAGCGUUAAUCGGAAUUACUGGGCGUAAAGCGCAUGCAGGCGGCCUGUUAAGUCAGAUGUGAAAGCCCGGGGCUUAACCUCGGAAUUGCAUUUGAAACUGGCAGGCUAGAGUCUUGUAGAGGGGGUAGAAUUUCAGGUGUAGCGGUGAAAAUGCGUAGAGAUCUGAAGGAAUACCAGUGGCGAAGGCGGCCCCCUGGACAAAGACUGACGCUCAGAUGCGAAAGCGUGGGGAGCAAACAGGAUUAGAUACCCUGGUAG